rnacentral:rRNA from 1 species
GACGAACGCUGGCGGCGUGCUUAACACAUGCAAGUCGAGCGGGAUCCAACCGGUGGCAACACCGGGGAAGAUCUAGCGGCGAACGGGUGAGUAACACGUGAGCAACCUGCCCCGAAGACUGGGAUAACACCGGGAAACCGGUGCUAAUACCGGAUGUCGUCAUUAGGCCGCAUGACCUGAUGAUGAAAGGAUUCAUCGCUUCGGGAGGGGCUCGCGGGCUAUCAGCUUGNGGUGGGGUACGGCCUACCAAGGCGACGACGGCUAGCUGGUCUGAGAGGACGACCAGCCACACUGGGACUGAGACACGGGCCCAGACUCCUACGGGAGGCAGCAGUGGGGAAUCUUGCGCAAUGGGCGAAAGCCUGACGCAGCAACGCCGCGUGGGGGAUGAA